GUGAAACUGGGGACCUCAGCUUGUUGUGUGUCACUGUGCUCGGAGGUUUGCUGCUCAGUCUCUGGACUCCUUCACCUGUCUCUUCCCACCAGGGAAUCCACAAAAUGAGGCUGAGGUUUCUCUGCAGCAGUCUGCCUGCUGGUUUGAUGUUCGCUUUCUUGGUUCUUCUACUUCGCCCUGUUUCCACACGUGAAAACAGAGAUCAUAUUUAUUUCUUGGAUAAAGGAAAGGAAGUUGUGUUAGAAGGACCGGUCAAUCCUGGGAAUGGCCCUGUUGUCUGGGAAUGGAAACCACACUCGGGGCAGGACAUCCAGCAGUUGGGGACUUUCAGCAGAUGGGGCCGGGGAUGGCGGAGAGAACAGUGGAGUGGGUGGUACCGGGAGCUGCGUGUGGAUGGUGGUACUGUUAAUCUGAGAAUUAAAAAACCCAACUUUAAAAUUGCGGGAUUGUUCACUUUGACUCAA